AUUUAUAUAGUUUAAACAAAACCUUACAUUUUCAAUGUAAAAACAAAAUUUAAUAUUUUUAUAAAUA
rnacentral:tRNA from 1 species